rnacentral:rRNA from 1 species
UACGUAGGGUGCGAGCGUUGUCCGGAAUUAUUGGGCGUAAAAGAGCUUGUAGGUGGUUUGUCGCGUCUGCUGUGAAAAUCCGGGGCUCAACCCCGGACUUGCAGUGGGUACGGGCAGACUAGAGUGUGGUAGGGGAGACUGGAAUUCCUGGUGUAGCGGUGAAAUGCGCAGAUAUCAGGAGGAACACCGAUGGCGAAGGCAGGUCUCUGGGCCACUACUGACGCUGAGAAGCGAAAGCAUGGGGAGCGAACAGG